rnacentral:tRNA from 1 species
UCCCUGAUAGCUCAGUUGGAAAAGAAUCUGCCUGCAAUGCAGGAGACCUUGGUUCAAUUCUUGGUCAGGAAG